GACGAACGCUGGCGGCGUGCCUAACACAUGCAAGUCGAGCGGAGUCAGUAAGAGGAAGUUUUCGGAUGGAAUCUUAUUGAUUUAGCGGCGGACGGGUGAGUAACGCGUGAGCGACCAACCUUGCACAGGGGGAUAACGGACCGAAAGGUUCACUAAUACCGCAUGAGACCACGGUGUUGCAUGACACAGGGGUCAAAGGAGUAAUCCGGUGCAAGACGGGCUCGCGUCCGAUUAGGUAGUUGGAGGGGUAACGGCCCACCAAGCCUAUGAUCGGUAGCCGACCUGAGGGGGUGAUCGGCCACAUUGGAACUGAGAUACGGUCCAAACUCCUACGGGAGGCAGCAGUGGGGAAUAUUGGGCAAUGGGGGAAACCCUGACCCAGCAACGCCGCGUGAAGGAAGAAGGUUUUCGGAUUGUAAACUUCUGUCCUUGGUGAAGAGAAGAAGACGGUAGCCAAGGAGGAAGCCCCGGCUAACUACGUGCCAGCCGCCGCGGUAA
rnacentral:rRNA from 1 species